UACGUAGGGUGCGAGCGUUGUCCGGAAUUAUUGGGCGUAAAGAGCUCGUAGGCGGUUUGUCGCGUCUGCUGUGAAAACCUGAGGCCCAACCUCGGGCCUGCAGUGGGUACGGGCAGACUGGAGUGCGGUAGGGGAGAAUGGAAUUCCUGGUGUAGCGGUGGAAUGCGCAGAUAUCAGGAGGAACACCGAUGGCGAAGGCAGUUCUCUGGGCCGUAACUGACGCUGAGGAGCGAAAGCGUGGGGAGCGAACAGG
rnacentral:rRNA from 1 species